UCAAGAAAGAAGGUGAGAAAUCCUUCGUGUUUGAGGAGAGAAAGGAUUUAUAGGACCUGUGGCAUUUCCAUGAAUAGUGACUUAUAGGUAGCCAGUUUUGAACUGGAGCCCCGGAACUCCCAUGCCUUUCUUGAUCGGACCAACUUGAUUUCCGCUCUUUGGCUCGCUCAGUACUUACGCUCUCGUUGGCAAGAACAAGUCUCUAUAAAUUCUGAGAGCAAGAAGCGGAACAAAAAGAAAGCU
rnacentral:lncRNA from 1 species